rnacentral:rRNA from 1 species
AUACAGAGGGUGCGAGCGUUAAUCGGAAUUACUGGGCGUAAAGCGUGCGUAGGCGGUUGAUUUAGUCAGAUGUGAAAGCCCCGGGCUUAACCUGGGAACUGCAUUUGAAACUGGUCAACUGGAGUAUGGUAGAGGGGGGUAGAAUUUCUGGUGUAGCGGUGAAAUGCGUAGAUAUCAGAAGGAAUACCGAUGGCGAAGGCAGCCCCCUGGACCAAUACUGACGCUGAGGUACGAAAGCGUGGGGAGCAAACAGGAUUAGAUACCCCAGUAGUCC